rnacentral:rRNA from 1 species
UGGGGAAUUUUGGACAAUGGGGGAAACCCUGAUCCAGCCAUCCCGCGUGUGCGAUGAAGGCCUUCGGGUUGUAAAGCACUUUUGGCAGGAAAGAAACGUCAUGGGUUAAUACCCCGUGAAACUGACGGUACCUGCAGAAUAAGCACCGGCUAACUACGUGCCAGCAGCCGCGGUAAUACGUAGGGUGCAAGCGUUAAUCGGAAUUACUGGGCGUAAAGCGUGCGCAGGCGGUUCGGAAAGAAAGAUGUGAAAUCCCAGAGCUCAACUUUGGAACUGCAUUUUUAACUACCGGGCUAGAGUGUGUCAGAGGGAGGUGGAAUUCCUCGUGUAGCAGUGAAAUGCGUAGAUAUGCGGAGGAACACCGAUGGCUAAGGCAGCCUCCUGGGAUAACACUGACGCUCAUGCACGAAAGCGUGGGGAGCAAACAGG